rnacentral:rRNA from 1 species
UACAGAGGGUGCGAGCGUUGUCCGGAAUCACUGGGCGUAAAGGGCGCGUAGGCGGCGCGGUAAGCGUGCGGUGAAAGCCCGGGGCUCAACCCCGGGUCGGCCGUGCGGACUGCCGGGCUGGAGCACUGUAGAGGCAGGUGGAAUUCCUGGUGUAGCGGUGAAAUGCGUAGAGAUCAGGAAGAACACCGGUGGCGAAAGCACUCUGCUGGGCCGACACUGACACUGAGAGACGAAAGCUAGGGGAGCGAAUGGG